GACGAACGCUGGCGGCGUGCUUAACACAUGCAAGUCGAACGGAAAGGCCCUGCUUUUGUGGGGUGCUCGAGUGGCGAACGGGUGAGUAACACGUGAGUAACCUGCCCUUGACUUUGGGAUAACUUCAGGAAACUGGGGCUAAUACCGGAUAGGAUCUCCUGCUGCAUGGUGGGGGUUGGAAAGUUUCGGCGGUUGGGGAUGGACUCGCGGCUUAUCAGCUUGUUGGUGGGGUAGUGGCUUACCAAGGCUUUGACGGGUAGCCGGCCUGAGAGGGUGACCGGCGACAUUGGGACUGAGAUACGGCCCAGACUCCUACGGGAGGCAGCAGUGGGGAAUAUUGCACAAUGGGCGGAAGCCUGAUGCAGCAACGCCGCGUGCGGGAUGACGGCCUUCGGGUUGUAAACCGCUUUCGCCUGUGACGAAGCGUGAGUGACGGUAAUGGGUAAAGAAGCACCGGCUAACUACGUG
rnacentral:rRNA from 1 species